CAUUUCUUUUUAUGAAGUAUUACAUGGUUUUAAAAUAAGUUAAUUAAAAUUAGUAUAUAACUUAGUAUAACUAUAUAACUAUAGCUACUAUUAUAUUAUUAUUAUUGCUUAAAUUUAAGCAAAUAAAAUAAAAUAAAUUUUUAUUUAAUUUAAUAACUUUAAAGUUUUAACUUUAUUCAUAUUCUGACUCCCAGUCUCAGAGGUUAGUCGUAAGUCCAGUGGCGCCGAUCUAUAUUUCAUGUUAUGGGGAAAAAAUGCUGGUGUUAGACCCACUUACUAAAAAAAAUGUUUAGAGAUUUCUUAAACAUUAAAAUUUUACCAUAAAUUUAAAUUACAUUUUAAUCAGCACAUUAGUUGAAGUUUUAUAGGAACCGAACAUUUGGCUGGAUCAUGGAUUAACCACCGACGGAGAAUUUUUGUCAUUGAGCUGAAGGAAAAUGUGUCGGCACUCGGCUUCGUUUCAACCCGGAGGAAGAUUGGCAGCAUCAAUAAGAAGCUCAUCUUAAUAUCAACUGUCGAAAGGAUUUGUUUUGAAGAAGAAUUUGUCACAAAGCUGAUGGGAAAUGUGUUGGCUGUAUUUCAACACUGAGGACGUCUGGCAGCAGCAAAAAUAAAUUUAACUAAUAAUCAACUGUUCAAAGGAUUUGUUUUGAAGAAGAAUUUGUCACAAAGCUGAUGGGAAAUGUGUCGGCACUCGGCUUCGUUUCAACCCGGAGAAAGAUUGGCAGCAUCAAUAAGAAGCUCAUCUUAAUUUAGUUGUCCCCUUACGCAUUAGCGCUCAUCUCUCAUCCACUCAUCUAACACAUUGACUAUCGCCGGCCGGCAACACACAUAUAUUAUACACAUUACCCGUUUUAUAUUAUAUAAUAUUAUUAAUACCUACAUAUAGUUUAAGUUAUUGUAUAUUUUUUUUUUUAUUAUUUGAAUGCAUUUAUAUGAUCAGUGGCGUAUUUAGGAAUUUUAGGAUAAGGGCAACACAUAUUUUGCCGCCUCCCCCACCAUUAAAAAAAAAUUAAAAAACUUCUACGCCGCGCAAUAGUGGUCAAACUGUUAAUACCAUAGAAUACCAUGUUAUAUAAAUACUAUAGUAUUUUAUACCUCUAUGGCACACAUUUGUUGUGAAAAAUAUUAAUGAUUGACGUCACUGCGCCAGUACUCAUAAAGUACGAAAUAAAAAUUUGCCGCCCCUCUAAAUCUUUAAAAAUUUGCCGUUCUGGACAACUGGACCCAAAGCCUCUACCUAAAUACGCCCCUGCAUAUAAUGCGUUCUCGCUUACGAUGUGGAUUAGGCCUACUGAGGACACCACAAUAAAAAAACGCGCCUCGUGUAAUAUCUCAUAAAGUUAUUAAACAAUACGGACAAUGUCAUUGUACGUCGUUUAAUAAUAAAGGUGGUGUGGAAAAUUACCUAACACUGUUAUUCUUAUCUCAUGUAACUAUAUAGUUACCUUGCAUACAUUUUUUUAUUAA